GGGGAAUCUUAGACAAUGGGGGAAACCCUGAUCUAGCCAUGCCGCGUGAGCGAUGAAGGCCUUAGGGUUGUAAAGCUCUUUCAGCUGGGAAGAUAAUGACGGUACCAGCAGAAGAAGCCCCGGCUAACUCCGUGCCAGCAGCCGCGGUAAUACGGAGGGGGCUAGCGUUGUUCGGAAUUACUGGGCGUAAAGCGCACGUAGGCGGAUCGGAAAGUUGGGGGUGAAAUCCCGGGGCUCAACCACGGAACUGCCUUCAAAACUAUCGGGCUUGAGUUCGAGAGAGGGGAGUGGAAUUCCGAGUGUAGAGGUGAAAUUCGUAGAUAUUCGGAGGAACACCAGUGGCGAAGGCGGCUCACUGGCUCGAUACUGACGCUGAGGUGCGAAAGCGUGGGGAGCAAAC
rnacentral:rRNA from 1 species